rnacentral:rRNA from 1 species
UACGUAGGGUGCAAGCGUUAAUCGGAAUUACUGGGCGUAAAGCGUGCGCAGGCGGUUAUGUAAGACAGAUGUGAAAUGCCCGGGCUUAACCUGGGAACUGCAUUUGUGACUGCAUGGCUAGAGUUUGGCAGAGGGGGGUAGAAUUCCACGUGUAGCAGUGAAAUGCGUAGAUAUGUGGAGGAACACCGAUGGCGAAGGCAGCCCCCUGGGUCAAGACUGACGCUGAGUGAGCGAAAGCCAGGGGAGCAAACGGG